rnacentral:rRNA from 1 species
CAGCAGCCACGGUAAAACGAAGGGUGCAAGCGUUAAUCGGAAUUACUGGGCGUAAAGCGUGCGUAGGCGGUGAGUUAAGUCUGCUGUGAAAUCCCCGGGCUCAACCUGGGAAUGGCAGUGGAUACUGGCUCGCUAGAGUGUGUCAGAGGAUGGUGGAAUUCCCGGUGUAGCGGUGAAAUGCGUAGAGAUCGGGAGGAACAUCAGUGGCGAAGGCGGCCAUCUGGGACAACACUGACGCUGAGGCACGAAAGCGUGGGGAGCAAACAGGAUUAGAUACCCGCGUAGUCCCUGUCUCUUAUAC